rnacentral:rRNA from 1 species
CGAACGCUGGCGGCGUGCUUAACACAUGCAAGUCGAACGGACUGAGUUGAUAGCUUGCUAUUGAUGAGGUUAGUGGCAAACGGGUGAGUAACGCGUAGGCAACCUGCCCUUCAGAUGGGGACAACACCUCGAAAGGGGUGCUAAUACCGCAUAAGCCCACGGCUCGGCAUCGAGCAGAGGGAAAAGGAGCUAUCGCUUUGCGAUGGGUCUGCGUCUGAUUAGCUAGUUGGUGGGGCAACGGCCUACCAAGGCGACGAUCAGUAGCCGGUCUGAGAGGAUGAACGGCCACAUUGGAACUGAGACACGGUCCAGACUCCUACGGGAGGCAGCAGUGGGGAAUCUUCCGCAAUGGGCGAAAGCCUGACGGAGCAACGCCGCGUGAGUGAAGAAGGCCUUCGGGUCGUAAAGCUCUGUUGUCGGGGACGAAUGUGCGGAUUAUCAACAACGAUCUGCAAUGACGGUACCUGACGAGGAAGCCACGGCUAACUACGUG